ACUGUUCUACUCCUAGAUCGGUGCCUUACUCAACUUGAGAGAACUACUCUCAGAUAAGAACAUGGAGAUCCAUGGCAUAUGAAAAGAGUGAGAGACUUUGGAGUACCCAGUCGUAAAUAUGAUGUCUUUGUCAAACCCUUCCCCUCAUGGCUCAGGGAUCUAUACAGAAGAAGAGGCACAUUUCAAGAACCAGAGGCUAUGUAUGACUCAGAGGAAAAUGUCUUUCAGACACAACAGGACUGUUGCACAUAUAAACUCACAGAGACUGUGGCAGCAUGCCAAAGUCCUACAGAGAUUCAAGCUAGAGAAGAGGCUGAACAUAGACUCCCCACACCUAACUAAGAAACUCUCUGCAUUGAUGUUCACUGGCAAGAAAGAAAUUAGUGUUCCCCAAUGCACUGUCACUGGGUGUAUCAACCACAACUGAAGUAGAGCAUCAGUUUCACUUUACCAGUGUGGGCUGCUUCUCCAACCUCCUCAUUAUUACUUUUCCUCCUUGGCAUUUACAGUUCCCAGACAGAAUCAUGUAGUCCUCUGAGAAGCUCCAUCCAGAAGCUGACUCAGACUGAUACAGACACCCACAGCCAAACAGUGGAUAGAGCUUGGGGACUCUUAUGGAAGAAUAAGAGGAAGGAUUGUUGGCCCUGAAGGGAAUAAGAACUACACAGAAGACCAACAUAAUCAGCUAACCUGGACCUUUGGGAGUCCCAGAGAGACUGAACGACCAACAAAAGAACAUAUAUGGGAUGGACCUGGACUUCCCUAUUCAUACGUGGCAGUGGCAGAUGUUCAGCUUAGUCUUCAUGUGGGUCCUGAACAACUGAAACAGGGACUAUCCCUAAAGCUGUUCCCUGUCUGUGAGAUAUGUUCUGCUAGCUAGGCUGCCUUGUCAGGCCUCAGUGGGAGAGGAAGUGCAUAACCUUACAGAGACUUGAAGUGUCUGGGUUGGGGAGUAUACUCAGGAGGGGACCCCACUCACUCAAAGGAGAAAGGAAGAUGUGAUGGGGGAAGGAUUGUGGGAGGGGAUUCCUGGGAUUCGAGGCACUGAGUGGUGUGUAAAGUGAAUAAGUAAAAAAAUAAAAUUAAAUUUAAAAAAAUAAUUUUAUUUUUAAAAAGAAUUUUCUCCUCGGUAAGCUUUGCUUCUCUAUACACAUGAAUUCUUUACAGAGUUGUUUCAAAUGUUUUGGAGCAUUGCUUAUAUAUUUCAGUUAUGAGCCAUAAAGAAUGGCUCUAAUAAAAUGAUGGUGUGAAAAUAGAUUAGCACUAGUCAAGGACUGACUGUUAAACUUUCUAAACUUUCAUUAAAUGCUCAUAUGCAC